GAUGAACGCUGGCGGCGUGCCUAAUACAUGCAAGUCGAGCGAACAGACGAGGAGCUUGCUCCUCUGACGUUAGCGGCGGACGGGUGAGUAACACGUGGAUAACCUACCUAUAAGACUGGGAUAACUUCGGGAAACCGGAGCUAAUACCGGAUAAUAUAUUGAACCGCAUGGUUCAAUAGUGAAAGACGGUUUUGCUGUCACUUAUAGAUGGAUCCGCGCCGCAUUAGCUAGUUGGUAAGGUAACGGCUUACCAAGGCAACGAUGCGUAGCCGACCUGAGAGGGUGAUCGGCCACACUGGAACUGAGACACGGUCCAGACUCCUACGGGAGGCAGCAGUAGGGAAUCUUCCGCAAUGGGCGAAAGCCUGACGGAGCAACGCCGCGUGAGUGAUGAAGGUCUUCGGAUCGUAAAACUCUGUUAUUAGGGAAGAACAAAUGUGUAAGUAACUAUGCACGUCUUGACGGUACCAAUCAGAAAGCCACGGCUAACUACGUG
rnacentral:rRNA from 1 species